UAUUUUUUUUUUGUACAUGAUUUUGAUAUUUUAAUUACUCAUAAGUUAUUAGAAAAUUUCCAUAUAACUGCUUGUAUUAAAGACAAGUUUUUUAAGAUAAGAUUUUAAGGAAUUUAUAUUUUUCAGGAGAGAUAUUGAGGAAUUUUUUGGAAUUAAUUUGUUAUACAAGUAAUUAACAUCUUCGCAGUUUGAGUUAUCUUGUUUUAGCUCUUCAUUAUUGAGUUUAGAGAUAAACCGGUAUAAAAAAUACAAACUUCAUAGACACAGCAUAUAAAAAGAGUUUUAUUAUUUCUGUUUUUAUGCUAGCUUUUUUGAUAAUAACUUAAGUUUCAACGUAGUACAAAAACAUUAAUUUGAGUGAUAUAAUCCAAUCAUUGGUAAUAGAACAAGAUAAACCUAACCUCGCGAUCUCUCAGAAAUUCAGUAUAUUGCUUUACACAAUAAUACAAAUUUUUUAUUUAAAAAGUAUGAUUUUUGUUUUAAACAGGUUUUUUUGUUGUUUCAGUUUGUUUUUUAGCUAAAAUUUUUAAAUUUGCCUUUUUAUGUAUCUUUUUCAGAUGAGCUGAUUAGAGAUUACGAAACAAGUUUAAAAUCAGCGGAAUUAGUAGCCACUAUUCCUGUAUAAGCUAUGUCCUACAAGGUAUCGUUUAAUUUAAAACCCAAGUCAUACUCAUAUGGUUUUUAAAGUGUUCUUCAUUUCACUAUUGGUAAUGAUAUCAGUGAAUUCGGUGACGGAACUCCAACACUUUGGUUUCGACCCUAAGAACCUAACUAUAAGGGUUUUUUACGUCACUGCACCGAUAAAUUAAAAUAGGAAUAGAGAAAUCUAUAUUGAUGCACUUCCUUACAAUGUGUGGAAAAACGUUGUUAUUAUUCAGCAACGUAUUGAUGACAAAUAUGUUUUCACAAUUAACGUAAAUGGAGCAAACGCAUUUUCUGAAAAUAAUGCCAAACCCCAAAAAUUUGACAACGUGAAAGUUUUUGCUUCCGAUCAGUAGUAUUCAUCUCAAGAUGGAUCAAUAAAAAAUCUCAUUCUUAAAAACGGGGAGCCUAGUAUUACUUUUUUUUUAACGCUCUUUUUUACUAUUUUUGUCUAACGCAUUUAAAAUCAGGCGUAUCAAAGAGUCUGCUGUUUCGUUUUGUAUUUUAAUAAUUAAAAGUGUACAUUCAAAAACUUUUAAAUGCACUAUUUGUUAUUUUUUUAUAUCUAAACUAGUUUCAUAAACAGUACUUUUAUUUUUUACACUUUUACUUUUAAUGAAUUGUCUAACUGAAUUUAAAUGGAUUCUAUUAUUCGCAAGUUAUUUUAGGUGAAUCUUUUCCGAAAGCCGUACUGAAGUCGAAAUAUUUUGUGGAUAACGAAGUUGAAGAGACACUGAAGAAAAAUAACUUGGUUGCGAUUUUGUCAAAAUUAGAACAAUCAUUCGAUUUUUAUUUCGAUUUAAAACUCAACAGUUUUUCAGAUGGAUUUAGGUGUGUCAUUCAUUUGACUAUAUGAGAGGAUAAUUCAAAAUACGGUGAUCGAAUUCUUGGUAUUUGGGUUUUUAAGCAAAUGUUACACGUUGGUUUUGCAAUAAACAAUAAUAAAAAUGAAUAUUUUGAAUCCAAGCCACUUCAACAAGGCCAGUGGAUAAAUGUUCAUAUACGUCAGCACGCUGAAUCUGGAAGUGCUUCUUUUACUUUAUAUAUCAACAACGAAAAUGUAUAUACUGUACAAAACUUCAACCCACAAGAAUUUACAAAUGUCAAAGUUUACGCGAAAGAUUCGUGAUAUGAAACUCAGGAUGGCUCCAUUAAAAUGUUCAAUAUCAUUAAUGGAUAUUUAGGUAAAUUCUAAAACUUUGACAUGAAAGCUUGAACGACUGCUGCAUCGAUUUUAUAUUGGAUUGUUUGCUUUCAUCGUUUUUAUUCUUUUAUUUUAAUUAGAUGAGAAAAAGGAAUUAAAAAAGGACGCCAUACGAAAAAAGUCAUUUUGGUUAAAUAGUUAAUGUUUUUUAACGUCAUAGUUUUUUAUUUCACGUUUGUAUUUUUUGUACUUUUGAUAGUUUUUGUAGUAUGUAAUUUUUGAUGUUUUGAAUUUGUAUUUUUUAAUUUUUUUGUAAGUUUUCUACUUUUUUGUGUAACACUUUUUUAUUAGGUAAAUCCUAAAGCUUUUACAUGAAAGCUUGAACGACUGCUGCAUCGGUUUUAUAUUGGAUUGUUUGCUUUCAUCGUUUUUAUUCUUUUAUUUUAAUUAGAUGAGAAAAAGGAAUUAAAAAAGGACGCCAUACGAAAGAAGUCAUUUUGGUUAAAUAGUUAAUGUUUUUUAACGUCAUAGUUUUUUAUUUCAAGUUUGUAUUUUUUGUACUUUUGAUAGUUUUUGCAGUAUGUAAUUUUUGAUGUUUUGAAUUUGUAUUUUUUAAUUUUUUUGUAAGUUUUCUACUUUUUUGUGUAACACUUUUUUAUUAGGUAAAUCCUAAAGCUUUUACAUGAAAGCUUGAACGACUGCUGCAUCGGUUUUA